GACCACAUCACAUUGAAACACUGGUUCCCAUAUAAUCAUCAAAGUUAAGCAACAUUGAGCCUAGUAAGUACUUAGAUUGGUGACCACUUAGGAGUACCAGGUGUUGUAA